GCCAUUUUGGCGGAGAGACGCGCAAAGUUUAGGACUUUGAUACGGUGUAUUCACCAAAUGGCA
rnacentral:tRNA from 1 species